AUACCUACCUGAUACAAGAAAGAUCAUGAGCAUGAAGGCAGAUUACCCAUAGCAAGACUUACACAUUGCACUCAGAAUGUGCUGACUCCCUGUGAUUUCUCCAACUGCUGGGAAACUUAACUGCAUAAUUUGUGGUAAUGGGGAGACUGAGUUUGUGCUCUUCUAAU